rnacentral:rRNA from 1 species
GGGUUGUGAGGUUAAGCGACUAAGCGUACACGGUGGAUGCCCUGGCAGUCAGAGGCGAUGAAGGACGUGCUAAUCUGCGAUAAGCGUCGGUAAGGUGAUAUGAACCGUUAUAACCGGCGAUUUCCGAAUGGGGAAACCCAGUGUGAUUCGUCACACUAUCAUUAACUGAAUCCAUAGGUUAAUGAGGCGAACCGGGGGAACUGAAACAUCUAAGUACCCCGAGGAAAAGAAAUCAACCGAGAUUCCCCCAGUAGCGGCGAGCGAACGGGGAGCAGCCCAGAGCCUGAAUCAGUGUGUGUGUUAGUGGAAGCGUCUGGAAAGGCGCGCGAUACAGGGUGACAGCCCCGUACACAAAAAUGCACAUACUGUGAGCUCGAUGAGUAGGGCGGGACACGUGGUAUCCUGUCU